AGUGAACGCUGGCGGCGUGCCUAACACAUGCAAGUCGAACGAUGAUGGAGAGCUUGCUCUCCUGAUUAGUGGCGCACGGGUGAGUAUACCAUAGAUAAUGUACCUCUUAGUUCGGGAUAGCCACUGGAAACGGUGAUUAAUACCGGAUACUCCUUCUUGUCUUAAGGCAAGUCGGGAAAGUUUUUUCGCUAAGAGAUCAGUCUAUGUCCUAUCAGCUAGUUGGUGAGGUAAUGGCUCACCAAGGCAAUGACGGGUAUCUGGUUUGAGAGGAGGAUCGGACGCACUUGAGCUGAGACACGGUCCAGACUCCUACGGGAGGCAGCAGUGGGGAAUAUUGCACAAUGGAGGAAACUCUGAUGCAGCAACGCCGCGUGGAGGAUGACGCAUUUCGGUGUGUAAACUCCUUUUAAGAGGGAAGAUAAUGACGGUACCUCUUGAAUAAGCGCCGGCUAACUCCGUGCCAGCCGCCGCCGUAA
rnacentral:rRNA from 1 species